UGCCCCAUGGCUUAAUUGGCUAUAGCGUCCGACUGUUAAUCGGAAGCUCGAGAGUUUGAGCCGCUCUGGGGCAG
rnacentral:tRNA from 1 species